GAGUUUUGUUUGAAGAGGGGCUGCCCGGGUACCCAACAGAUAUCUGCACUGAAACAAUGGUGAGAGAUGACAUGAGAAGAGGCAUCUCUCGCUUUCAUAAAGGAGAUGGGCUACAGAUUGUUAUAGUUGCAACGCUCACAAUGAAGCAGACUCGGAUGGAUAUUGAUGUUCUUCAGGCAACUUACAAGAUGGUGCCCUGUUCUUUGGACUCAUGAAGCAACUACCUAUGUUUUGUGCAUGAGCUGGCAGUUACCUAUGUUUUGUAUACAAGCUGAUGUUGACACUAAGAGCAGAUCAGAAGUCGAAAUUGAUGUUUCAUUUUGUCAGAUUCUAGUCAGCAUGUGGACACUAUUUGAUUUCAGGAACUUCCAUUGAGGAUUUAAAGCUGUAGUUUUAAAAUAUGAUUUACUUAAAAUGUUGUUUGAAAGCAUGAUUUUUGAGAUUAAUUGAUACUGCAAAGAUCGUGAAGGAAAAUACAUUGAAAACGUGACGUCUUUUCCUUACCAAAAGCUAUUCUUGUCUUGUUGUGUUUCAGUUUGGUCAACAUUUCUUUGUAGUGCAGAAACCUAGAAAUAUUAAUCCAUGUUGGAUAGUGAUCUUAUGUAUUCAUAUAUAACGAAAAAAUGUUCAAAAGUUUUUUUAUCUUGGUUAGGGUUCUACAUAGUUUGGGGCUUUGAUGUGUAGUGGUAACCUUUUAGAUUAUGUAAAAUUUAAAGAUGUUGAUUUUCAUAUUUUCCCUGUUCUUAUCAUUUUAACUUUCUUUCUUUAUUUUUUUUAGUCUCUCCUCCAUUACUAUGAAAUGGGAAAUAAGCUUUUUGCACAAAUCUUCCUUUGACUGGGAUAUGUCCUUCUACAGGUUGCUGCCAAGAUGCAAACGCUGAGAAAUGUCGCAGACUACAUUGUGUGAAUAUGUUUCUGUAAACCUGCUGGAGUCAGUCAGAACUAUACUGAUUUGAACCUUGUUUCAUAAGCCCUUCGGAAGCUAUUCUGUAGUCAAGUUCACUGGGUUCAUGAUUGACAUACUCCUUUCUGGAUCAACCAUACUGAUUGUCUUUAUCUUUAUGGCUGAACAGUCCUUGCAAAGAUCAAACUUUUGUUAUAAAUUGAUGUUACAUUUAAUUUCUUGUGUAUUGAAUGAUUCAUGAACUAAGCAUUGGCAACCCAAGAUUGUUUCAUGAGCAUUCUUCUCUUGUCUCAACCAGUAGGAUCACAUUGUGAUUUAGUAUGAAGAUCGAUUUAAAUACUUAGUAUAUUAUCUCCAUGUGGAUCUGGGUUUCAGCAGUGCUUCUGUUUUCUUCAACACUUGACAGGGGAAGUCUCGCACUCCAGGUAUCACACCUUAAAAUUCCCAUUCUUGGAAAGCUUAACUGUGAAUGAAUGCUCCAAAUUGAAGACUUCCUCUGGAGAAGGCUUAAGCAUGUCAAGGUUACAAGAGGUGAACACAAGACAUUGUUCGAAGAGUGGCUUAAUAUAGUUAUACAACAAUUACAAAAUGGAGAAGAAGAAAUUCCCAAUUGCUUUCUGAUAUUCUGUUGGAUUAAGGCUUAGUGUGCUUACAGCAUUGAUGGAUGUUAGUAAAGCUGGAAAUUCCACUUUUUUAUGUUUUGACCAUACGAUGUUGUGUUGAUAACAAACUUGUUCUUCUUGCUUUAAUCUCUGAUGGAUCAAUCAGUAAGGGUUUGUUAGUACUCAAAGCUCUGUGCUCAUUCUCUUCAAAAACUGAACUGAGGUAAUCCAUUUGUCAUGAAUUGACUAA